rnacentral:snoRNA from 1 species
AUCCUAGGUAAUCCAUUUUUAAAAUGAUUAUCUGAUUCAUGAGAGGCAAAGAUUAACCAUGGAAGUUUAGUUGACAACAUCCUUAUUGUAUAGGUGUUUUUUGAUGGUUUACUAACAACAUCCUUAUUCUG